GCAAGUCGAGGGGCAGCACGGAACUUCGGUUCUGGUGGCGACCGGCGCACGGGUGCGUAACGCGUAUGCAACCUGCCUUAUACAGGAGGAUAGCCCAUGGAAACGUGGAUUAAUACUCCAUAGUACUGUAAAGCUGCAUAGUUUAACAGUUAAAACUUCGGUGGUAUAAGAUGGGCAUGCGUAUGAUUAGGUUGUUGGUGAGGUAACGGCUCACCAAGACGAUGAUCAGUAGCUGGUCUGAGAGGAUGAUC
rnacentral:rRNA from 1 species